UACGAAGGGGGCUAGCGUUGUUCGGAAUUACUGGGCGUAAAGCGCGCGCAGGCGGUUCUUCAAGUCAGUGGUGAAAGCCCGGAGCUCAACUCCGGAACUGCCAUUGAAACUGUGGAACUUGAGGAUGAGAGAGGUGAGUGGAAUUCCCAGUGUAGAGGUGAAAAUUCGUAGAUAUUGGGAAGAACACCGGUGGCGAAGGCGGCUCACUGGCUCAUUUCUGACGCUCAGGCGCGACAGCGUGGGGGAUCAAAACAGG
rnacentral:rRNA from 1 species